GGAAGGUUGUCCGAGUGGUUAUGGAGCUAGUUUAAGGCACUAGUGCGAAAGCUCGUGGGUUCGAGUCCCACACCUUUCA
rfam:Schizosaccharomyces pombe chromosome I, complete replicon